CAAGGAUUGCUAAUACCGCAUAUGUAUGUACUCGGACACGAGUGUAUAUGAAAGGAGUAAUCCGUCUUAAGAUGAGUCUGCGUCCGAUUAGCUAGUUGUAGGGUAAAAGCCUACCAAGGCGACGAUCGGUAGCUGGUCUGAGAGGAUGACCAGCCACAAUGGGACUGAGACACGGCCCAU
rnacentral:rRNA from 1 species